UACGAAGGGUGCUAGCGUUGUUCGGAAUCAUUGGGCGUAAAGCGUACGUAGGCGGCUUAGCAAGUCGAUUGUGAAAUCCCGAAGCUUAACUUCGUGAAUUGCAACCGAAACUGCUUCGCUCGGGUUUGGUGGGGGAUGAUGGAAUUCCUAGUGUAGGGGUGAAAUCCGUAGAUAUUAGGAGGAACACCGGUGGCGAAAGCGAUCAUCUACGCCAAUACUGACGCUAAGGUACGAAAGCGUGGGGAGCAAACAGG
rnacentral:rRNA from 1 species